rnacentral:rRNA from 1 species
UACAGAGGUCUCAAGCGUUGUUCGGAUUCAUUGGGCGUAAAGGGUGCGUAGGUGGCGGGGUAAGUCUGGUGUGAAAUCUCGGGGCUCAACCUCGAAACUGCACUGGAUACUGCUUUGCUAGAGUAUUGGAGAGGAGAUUGGAAUUUACGGUGUAGCAGUGAAAUGCGUAGAUAUCGUAAGGAAGACCAAUGGCGAAGGCGAAUCUCUGGACAAUUACUGACACUGAAGCACGAAGGCCAGGGGAGCAAACGGG